GUCAAUUUAACGAGCCGAUUUUCUACACCCUAUAGCGUGCUAUUAGCGACGCCAUAGCACGCUAUUUUUUCCAGCGAUUCAAAUAUUAAACACUACCCGCACCGGUGCAUUAACUUAAUAAGCGCUACGACAUGCAUCCACACUAAGAUACGGAGUAGCAAUUAAACGAUUCAACCAAAAUCACCAAAUUGAAAAAUAAUAUUUCCCACAAUGUUACCUAAAAAGGACACACGCAUAAAUUCAGUGUUCGGGGUUCCAUGCUAUUAUAGACCAACAACAAACAAGUAAAUCGCAGUUCAUGAUUCCACAAUACACACCACAGGAAACAAAUAAAUUUAGAUGUCACAAGUUUCAGCCAUGACGUUGCUUGUAUGUGAUUGGGCGUAAGAGGAAACAAUGAAUUCGGCGGUUGCUUGCAUGUGUGAUGUGUGCGCCCGGCAUGCUUGGAGACUCUAUGUGUGUCUCUUGUGUGCUGCAUUGUAUUUGUUUGAUGCAUUGCGUGAACCAAAUAUAAAUUAUCGGGAGUUAAAAGUUUCAAGAGAAAGUCCAGGUGCCCACAUUUAGUACAAAAUUGAAGGAAAAACGUAUACCCACCUUUUGUACUGUAAACUACAGGUCAUUAUACGUAUACAAUAUAUAACCACGUACAUGUACGACGACCUACGGUAUACAAUAUGAGGAGCGGAUGUGGUAGGGAGGUGGAGAAUUGGAGUUGCGUAGAAACAGAAACUUAAGGAGAAGAGGACAGCCAGCCAGGUUAGUGCGUGCAUUGAUUUUUCUAUUUUUGAUGGGCUGAUACACAUAUUGAUUUGUACUAGAUCCUUGUCUAACAGGAAUCAAGCGAAACUCUUGUAUGAUUAUGCUAAUGUAAACAGAUGUAGUAUUAGCUUAGUUAUAUCCUCUAUGGUUAGCUUGGUGCAUGAGUGCAUACUUGCUACUCUGUCACAUGUGGUUGUAGCAUUUUAUAUAGCACGCACGCGCGCACAACACCAUAGCGAAGCAGGAGUUCACGACCCGUCUUCUCCAUGCUCUGCUCUAAUACAACUAAGCUGUGCAUCCGAUGGCCCGACUGGACGUUCAUCUGGAACUAGUUUGUUCUAAUAAUUAAAGAAUAUUUGGAUGGCCUGCUCGACAGCAAGAUGCCAUUUUCCUACAAGGACAUGAAAGGAAUUCUGUGACUGCAACAAGAUGAGGUGCUGGCCAUCCUCUGACGAGAAGGCAGUGAUAUGUUGAGCUCCGUCAGAGAUCCUCGGCAAAGUAUAAAGACUACUCGCCUACAACCAUUCAUCCAUGGAAACCGUUGUUUAGUUCUUCAUUUACAGUUACUGCUUCAAUGACCAAGCCAGGGCACAACUGGAGCCGCUGCCCGGAGUAGCCGAGCCAUGGCUCCGCCGCCAGAAAGAGGUGCAGGCAAUGACUGCAAGAAGUGUCAAGAGGUCGCAGCAUGAAAACAAUACCGCCCCCAGACUUUUCCCACUAGUUUUCCCCGACGCCUCCUAUUCAUAAGCAGAAACACACCACAAAACUUUGUGGUCCUUAGUUGCAUUUUCUUCUUUCUCCGUUUUAGCUAGCCUCUCGUUUAUUUCACACAUUUGCUACCUCUUCACAAGACCAUCUCUCCUCUUGCUUGCUAUAGGUGUUACCGCUGCACUAUUGUAUAUGGUUUAGCAAAGACACCGACCUGGGGAGGUAUAAAAAGGCAGGAAAAUGGUGAAUUUAUGGAUCUUGGGAGGGAGGGGUAGGAGGUACGAUUUUCAUUCAUGACGCGACGAGGUAUCAUAUGUAAUAGCACAUGAUCGUGAAUGUUGUUAAGUCAGACCGGUUGCUUCUAGUUUGGCUAAUAAUAAUAGGGUAUUGAUAUUGCCCAUACAUGUGGGCGUGCGUUAAGGUAGUCUUGGCAAUCGUCCCGUGUGAUGUGUAAAAGAAACGGACCACACGUCUAUACGUGGACAAAAUAGAUAACGUUCACAUGUUCGGC
rnacentral:lncRNA from 1 species